GAGUUUGAUCCUGGCUCAGGAUGAACGCUGGCGGCGUGCCUAAUACAUGCAAGUCGAACGCUUUGUGGUUCAACUGAUUUGAAGAGCUUGCUCAGAUAUGACGAUGGACAUUGCAAAGAGUGGCGAACGGGUGAGUAACACGUGGGAAACCUACCUCUUAGCAGGGGAUAACAUUUGGAAACAGAUGCUAAUACCGUAUAACAAUGACAACCGCAUGGUUGUUAUUUAAAAGAUGGUUCUGCUAUCACUAAGAGAUGGUCCCGCGGUGCAUUAGCUAGUUGGUAAGGUAAUGGCUUACCAAGGCGAUGAUGCAUAGCCGAGUUGAGAGACUGAUCGGCCACAAUGGGACUGAGACACGGCCCAUACUCCUACGGGAGGCAGCAGUAGGGAAUCUUCCACAAUGGGCGAAAGCCUGAUGGAGCAACGCCGCGUGUGUGAUGAAGGGUUUCGGCUCGUAAAACACUGUUGUAAGAGAAGAAUGACAUUGAGAGUAACUGUUCAAUGUGUGACGGUAUCUUACCAGAAAGGAACGGCUAAAUACGUGCCAGCAGCCGCGGUAAUACGUAUGUUCCAAGCGUUAUCCGGAUUUAUUGGGCGUAAAGCGAGCGCAGACGGUUAUUUAAGUCUGAAGUGAAAGCCCUCAGCUCAACUGAGGAAUUGCUUUGGAAACUGGAUGACUUGAGUGCAGUAGAGGAAAGUGGAACUCCAUGUGUAGCGGUGAAAUGCGUAGA
rnacentral:rRNA from 1 species